AACAAACAAAGAGUUGAUAUGGAGAAUCCAAAUGGAAGCCCUGGUUUAAAUAGAACGGACUGGGAAGACCUCUCUGAAGGGAUACCAACCAUCUGGCCCUAAAACAAAUCUCAUCAGUUUAUGAACCAAGCAGCCCAAUCAGAGUACCUAAUUCUCCCUACCACACAAUUGGUCAAGGAGGAAGCAAGUGACAUAAUCUAAAUUCUUUCCAAAGAUGGAUGCAAAUGCUAGGAAAGCAAGAGUUGAAUUGCUAGCCAUGAGGAAAACGUAAGCCUGAGCUGUUUGCUGGUCAUCUUUGCUUCCAUAUGGAGACAGCCUGCGUGGAAAUGAAGCCACACAGAGAAAACAGAAGAGCAGUGAAGAGAAAGGUAAAAGGAGAGAUCCCAUGACAUGAUUUGCACUCUUAGAUCCAGUUAUGCCUGAAGCAGGACUCACCCCUUGGACUUCCCAUUUCCAGGAGCCUAUGCAUUCUCUGUUGCUAAAACUAGAUUGAGUUGAGUUUCUAUCACCUACAAGUUGACAGAAAAUAUCAACAAUCCAGCCACAUGGAGCCUCAAGGCAGUACCACUAACCCUGGUCACCACACAAAUACUGACCAGAGGCAUUUCACCUGAAUCAACUGUUUGUGUUCUUCACUUGGUCUCCUCACCUGCUUCCUGGAAGACCCAGCUGACACAGAUGGUUACAAGAAAUGAUUUCCUCCCUAUAAAACUUUAGAUGACAAUGUGAUCGUUCACAAGCACAUUGAAAAAUUCACACCAUGGAAAAGAACUAAAGUCCCAUCCUAAUUCAUCAGAGCCUUCUGUUUCCUGUAACAAAGAAGAACUCACAAGAUCGGGAUUCCAAGCUUCUUGUAUAGAAGAUACCCCAAAAAAUGUUUGCUGAAUGAAGAAAUAAAGGACUGUUCAGGCACCACUGGCACUUCAACUUGCUUAGCAAGUACUCAUGCCUCUUAAGAACUGGCCAAGGGCCGGGUGUGGUGGCUCACGCCUGUAAUUCCAGCAUUUUGGGAUGCC